ACACUUGUUUCAGGUAAGAUUCGUUCGUAUUUGGAAAAGCUUACCAAACACACUUAAACUUUUUUCUUAUACCUAUGCAUGCUACUUCAUUUUAUUAAUUCGUUGUUAUAAUAAAUUUUGGUGUGCAUUGUUAUUGCUAUAGUGACUUAUUUGUAAUUUUACUUUUUUUUUAAUCCCCCUUAUUCCGAUGGCGUAGACGAAUUUCGAAAUUUUUGCAAAAUGAUAUUAUGCUUGUCGAAGACGAAAAUUUUACUUUGUCGAUAUCACCACGCCUGUUUGUCGAACGAAUAUGGAACCUUCUUUUAUAUUAUUUUGUUUAUUUACCAGAAUAUUUUUCUAUAAUCAAACUGCAGAAGGCGAAUACGUUAUAGAAUUUCCAUGGCAGCCGGUUGCACGCACCGGAUUGACCCGAUGGAAUCCUUCAUCGGCAAGGGCUGCCGCCUCAGUGUACGUGUCCGUCCUUUUUUCGUCAUAGGAGAGACACAUCCUGAGUGCCUUCUUCGCACGCUUCUGGCCGUUCCGGGAUUGAAAAGUGUCCAGGACUCUGGUUCUGCUCGGGUUGGUAGAAUCGCCCCAUCAUCAUAUCGUGACUUAUUUUGAUUUUUUUUUAAUAUUCCGCCUUAUUCCGGUUGAGGAAUGUCGAAAUUUUUACAAAAUUGUAUUUUGGUUUUCGAA